CCUACGGGGUGCAGCAGUGGGGAAUAUUGCACAAUGGGCGCAAGCCUGAUGCAGCCAUGCCGCGUGUGUGAAGAAGGCCUUCGGGUUGUAAAGCACUUUCAGCGGGGAGGAAGGCGUUAAGGUUAAUAACCUUGUCGAUUGACGUUACCCGCAGAAGAAGCACCGGCUAACUCCGUGUCAGCAGCCGCGGUAAUACGGAGGGUGCAAGCGUUAAUCGGAAUUACUGGGCGUAAAGCGCACGCAGGCGGUCUGUCAAGUCGGAUGUGAAAUCCCCGGGCUCAACCUGGGAACUGCAUUCGAAACUGGCAGGCUAGAGUCUUGUAGAGGGGGGUAGAAUUCCAGGUGUAGCGGUGAAAUGCGUAGAGAUCUGGAGGAAUACCGGUGGCGAAGGCGGCCCCCUGGACAAAGACUGACGCUCAGGUGCGAAAGCGUGGGGAGCAAACAGGAUUAGAUACCCGGGUAGUC
rnacentral:rRNA from 1 species